AUUGAACGCUGGCGGCAGGCCUAACACAUGCAAGUCGAGCGAGCGGCGGACGGGUGAGUAAUGUCUGGGAAACUGCCUGAUGGAGGGGGCUAACUACAGGAAACGGUAGCUAAUACCGCAUACCAUCAGAUGUGCCCAGAUGGGGUUAGCUAGUAGGUAGGGUAACGGCUCACCUUGGCGACGAUCCCUAGCUGGUCUGAGAGGAUGCCCAGACACACUGGAGCGGAGGCACGGUCCAGCCUCUUACGGGAGGCAGCAGGGGGGAAUAUUGCACAAUGGGCGCAAGCCUGAUGCAGCAAUGCCGCGUGUGUGAAGAAGGCCUUCGGGUUGUAAAGCACUUUCAGCGGGGAGGCGUUACCCUCAGAAGAAGCACCGGCUAACUCCGUGCCAGCAGCCGCGGUAAUUC
rnacentral:rRNA from 1 species